rnacentral:rRNA from 3 species
AUUGAACGCUGGCGGAAUGCUUUACACAUGCAAGUCGAACGGCAGCAUAGAGAGCUUGCUCUCUGAUGGCGAGUGGCGAACGGGUGAGUAAUAUAUCGGAACGUGCCUAGUAAUGGGGAAUAACUAGCUGAAAGGUUAGCUAAUGCCGCAUACGACCUACGGGUGAAAGCAGGGGAUCUUCGGACCUUGCGUUAUUAGAGCGGCCGAUAUCUGAUUAGCUUGUUGGUGGGGUAAUGGCCUACCAAGGCGACGAUCAGUAGCUGGUCUGAGAGGACGAUCAGCCACACUGGAACUGAGACACGGUCCAGACUCCUACGGGAGGCAGCAGUGGGGAAUUUUGGACAAUGGGGGCAACCCUGAUCCAGCCAUUCCGCGUGAGUGAAGAAGGCCUUCGGGUUGUAAAGCUCUUUCGCAAGAGAAGAAAACUUGCUAUCUAAUAAAUAGUAAGUAUGACGGUAUCUUGACAAGAAGCACCGGCUAACUACGUGCCAGCAGCCGCGGUAAUACGUAGGGUGCAAGCGUUAAUCGGAAUUACUGGGCGUAAAGCGUGCGCAGGCAGUUUUAUAAGUCAGAUGUGAAAUCCCCGAGCUCAACUUGGGAACUGCGUUUGAAACUAUAAGACUAGAGUGUGUCAGAGGGGGGUAGAAUUCCAAGUGUAGCAGUGAAAUGCGUAGAGAUUUGGAGGAAUACCAAUGGCGAAGGCAGCCCCCUGGGAUAACACUGACGCUCA